UACGAAGGGGGCUAGCGUUGCUCGGAAUUACUGGGCGUAAAGGGAGCGUAGGCGGAUCGUUAAGUUAGAGGUGAAAGCCCAGGGCUCAACCCUGGAAUUGCCUUUAAAACUGGCGGUCUUGAGUAUGGUAGAGGUGUGUGGAACUCCGAGUGUAGAGGUGAAAUUCGUAGAUAUUCGGAAGAACACCAGUGGCGAAGGCGACACACUGGACCAUUACCGACGCUGAGGCUCGAAAGCGUGGGGAGCAAACAGG
rnacentral:rRNA from 1 species